CAGAACUAAAACUAUUGCACAAAUCUGAAAGUAAUUUUACGAUAAUUGAAACAACCAAAUUAUCUAAAAGAGGGAGACCAAAGAAGCAGAAUGUUGAAACAAAUGGGAAUAUAGGAUCUAAUAAUAUAAGCCAUACUCAGAAAUUAGAAAAACCUUUAAAGGAAACAGCAGUGGAAAAACACCCUGUGAACAGGAGAAAAGUGGCAACUAAAAGAAAAGGAAAAAUGGUAACAAGUAUGGAUUUGGAAGAAAAUGGACCAAUUCAAGAAAAUGAAAAUGAUUUAACUGCCAAAACAAGGCUAAGGUCUAGAAAUGUAAAAAAGAGUGCAAGUGACAUAAAGACAACAAUUGCCAAAGGUAAAGCAAAUGAUACAAUGUCAGGGGAAGAAAGUAAUAAAAGAAGAAAGAUUGCUGCAAUACAAUCAAGCCCAGAAACAUUAAUCACAACUUUGAAUGCAGAUGAGCAAGGAACACAAAAAUCUACAAUGUCUAAAAUAUGUAAAACCGAAGCUUCAGAAAAUAAUCUAAAAGCAGUGGGAAAAAAAUUAGUGGAGAAGAAAAAAAAAGUUCAGUUUUUACUUAACGAUGACUUUAAGGCUUCUGAAGAAAAAUGUGUACUUGGAUAUGAGAGUAAUACUCAUAAAGAAGAAAGUCAAACUGAAAACAUUUGUAAUGGGAUUCCAAAGGUUCCCUUGGAAAGCAUGCAAACUCCUGCAGAGCCCAGUCCACCCAGAAUAGAAAAGAAUCUGCCUAGCAGAGGUAGAGGCAAAAAAUCAGUUUCCAACCCUUCUGUAGAAAGUGAAAGCAAGCCAGCCUCUGAUGGGAAAGAUCAUGAUGUGAUUGUCAGUCUAAAAGAAAAUCAGCCCAGAAGAGGCAGAGGGAGAAGGAUAGAUCAAGUGGUCCUCAAAUCUGUUCCUUUAGAAAAUAAUAUUUCUGGAGAUUCUACAGUGAACAAAUGCCCUUCAUCCCAAGGUGGAUGUUCUUUGCCACAAGCUCAAAAUGAAAAUUUUGAAGAAUCUGAAAUGUUGCCAUUAGAAAAUGUGCAAACUUGUGAAGGGCACAUUCCGCCAAAAAGGAUAGUAAAAGAAAAUCCACCCAGGAGAGGAAGAAGCAAGCAAGUCAAUGAAACAUCUGGUAAUGAAGCUGAUGUCCAAGGUCCAAAUAUUGGACAAGAGGAUAAUCAAUCCAAAAAGGCAAGAGGGAAGAGGAAUACUCAAGAAUCCUGUUCACUGAAGAGCCAAAGGACAGUGAAAGAGAAUCCACCCAAGCGAGGCAGACAUAAAAAAUCUAUUUCUGAUGUUAUAUCUACAGAUUCUAACAGUACACACAUAAACCCUAUAAUAGGUGAAAAUAAAAAUGACAAAGAUGCUUUCCUUGCAAAGGAGGAUCAAUCAAAAGUAAGUAGAAGAACAAGAAACACUCUUAUAUUUCAGAAAAUUCUUUCUCCUGUCAAAAAUGACACUUGUCAUUUGCUGUCAUCAAACAGAGGGG
rnacentral:lncRNA from 1 species